rnacentral:rRNA from 1 species
GGGUUGUGAGGUUAAGCGACUAAGCGUACACGGUGGAUGCCCUGGCAGUCAGAGGCGAUGAAGGACGUGCUAAUCUGCGAUAAGCGUCGGUAAGGUGAUAUGAACCGUUAUAACCGGCGAUUUCCGAAUGGGGAAACCCAGUGUGAUUCGUCACACUAUCAUUAACUGAAUCCAUAGGUUAAUGAGGCGAACCGGGGGAACUGAAACAUCUAAGUACCCCGAGGAAAAGAAAUCAACCGAGAUUCCCCCAGUAGCGGCGAGCGAACGGGGAGCAGCCCAGAGCCUGAAUCAGUGUGUGUGUUAGUGGAAGCGUCUGGAAAGGCGUGCGAUACAGGGUGACAGCCCCGUACACAAAAAUGCACAUACUGUGAGCUCGAUGAGUAGGGCGGGACACGUGGUAUCCUGUCUGAAUAUGGGGGGACCAUCCUCCAAGGCUAAAUACUCCUGACUGACCGAUAGUGAACCAGUACCGUGAGGGAAAGGCGAAAAGAACCCCGGCGAGGGGAGUGAAAAAGAACCUGAAACCGUGUACGUACAAGCAGUGGGAGCACGCUUAGGCGUGUGACUGCGUACCUUUUGUAUAAUGGGUCAGCGACUUAUAUUCUGUAGCAAGGUUAACCGAAUAGGGGAGCCGAAGGGAAACCGAGUCUUAACUGGGCGUUAAGUUGCAGGGUAUAGACCCGAAACCCGGUGAUCUAGCCAUGGGCAGGUUGAAGGUUGGGUAACACUAACUGGAGGACCGAACCGACUAAUGUUGAAAAAUUAGCGGAUGACUUGUGGCUGGGGGUGAAAGGCCAAUCAAACCGGGAGAUAGCUGGUUCUCCCCGAAAGCUAUUUAGGUAGCGCCUCGUGAAUUCAUCUCCGGGGGUAGAGCACUGUUUCGGCAAGGGGGUCAUCCCGACUUACCAACCCGAUGCAAACUGCGAAUACCGGAGAAUGUUAUCACGGGAGACACACGGCGGGUGCUAACGUCCGUCGUGAAGAGGGAAACAACCCAGACCGCCAGCUAAGGUCCCAAAGUCAUGGUUAAGUGGGAAACGAUGUGGGAAGGCCCAGACAGCCAGGAUGUUGGCUUAGAAGCAGCCAUCAUUUAAAGAAAGCGUAAUAGCUCACUGGUCGAGUCGGCCUGCGCGGAAGAUGUAACGGGGCUAAACCAUGCACCGAAGCUGCGGCAGCGACGCUUAUGCGUUGUUGGGUAGGGGAGCGUUCUGUAAGCCUGUGAAGGUGUGCUGUGAGGUAUGCUGGAGGUAUCAGAAGUGCGAAUGCUGACAUAAGUAACGAUAAAGCGGGUGAAAAGCCCGCUCGCCGGAAGACCAAGGGUUCCUGUCCAACGUUAAUCGGGGCAGGGUGAGUCGACCCCUAAGGCGAGGCCGAAAGGCGUAGUCGAUGGGAAACAGGUUAAUAUUCCUGUACUUGGUGUUACUGCGAAGGGGGGACGGAGAAGGCUAUGUUGGCCGGGCGACGGUUGUCCCGGUUUAAGCGUGUAGGCUGGUUUUCCAGGCAAAUCCGGAAAAUCAAGGCCGAGGCGUGAUGACGAGGCACUACGGUGCUGAAGCAACAAAUGCCCUGCUUCCAGGAAAAGCCUCUAAGCAUCAGGUAACAUCAAAUCGUACCCCAAACCGACACAGGUGGUCAGGUAGAGAAUACCAAGGCGCUUGAGAGAACUCGGGUGAAGGAACUAGGCAAAAUGGUGCCGUAACUUCGGGAGAAGGCACGCUGAUACGUAGGUGAAGCGACUUGCUCGUGGAGCUGAAAUCAGUCGAAGAUACCAGCUGGCUGCAACUGUUUAUUAAAAACACAGCACUGUGCAAACACGAAAGUGGACGUAUACGGUGUGACGCCUGCCCGGUGCCGGAAGGUUAAUUGAUGGGGUUAGCGCAAGCGAAGCUCUUGAUCGAAGCCCCGGUAAACGGCGGCCGUAACUAUAACGGUCCUAAGGUAGCGAAAUUCCUUGUCGGGUAAGUUCCGACCUGCACGAAUGGCGUAAUGAUGGCCAGGCUGUCUCCACCCGAGACUCAGUGAAAUUGAACUCGCUGUGAAGAUGCAGUGUACCCGCGGCAAGACGGAAAGACCCCGUGAACCUUUACUAUAGCUUGACACUGAACAUUGAGCCUUGAUGUGUAGGAUAGGUGGGAGGCUUUGAAGUGUGGACGCCAGUCUGCAUGGAGCCGACCUUGAAAUACCACCCUUUAAUGUUUGAUGUUCUAACGUGGACCCGUGAUCCGGGUUGCGGACAGUGUCUGGUGGGUAGUUUGACUGGGGCGGUCUCCUCCUAAAGAGUAACGGAGGAGCACGAAGGUUGGCUAAUCCUGGUCGGACAUCAGGAGGUUAGUGCAAUGGCAUAAGCCAGCUUGACUGCGAGCGUGACGGCGCGAGCAGGUGCGAAAGCAGGUCAUAGUGAUCCGGUGGUUCUGAAUGGAAGGGCCAUCGCUCAACGGAUAAAAGGUACUCCGGGGAUAACAGGCUGAUACCGCCCAAGAGUUCAUAUCGACGGCGGUGUUUGGCACCUCGAUGUCGGCUCAUCACAUCCUGGGGCUGAAGUAGGUCCCAAGGGUAUGGCUGUUCGCCAUUUAAAGUGGUACGCGAGCUGGGUUUAGAACGUCGUGAGACAGUUCGGUCCCUAUCUGCCGUGGGCGCUGGAGAACUGAGGGGGGCUGCUCCUAGUACGAGAGGACCGGAGUGGACGCAUCACUGGUGUUCGGGUUGUCAUGCCAAUGGCACUGCCCGGUAGCUAAAUGCGGAAUAGAUAAGUGCUGAAAGCAUCUAAGCACGAAACUUGCCCCGAGAUGAGUUCUCCCUGACCCUUUAAGGGUCCUGAAGGAACGUUGAAGACGA